GAGUGAAGCUCAGUGGUAGAGUGCUUGCCUAGCAUGCAAGACGCCCUGGGUUCAAUCCUCAGCAUCAUACA
rnacentral:tRNA from 1 species